GCUCAGGUGGCUCAGUGGAUAGAGAGCCAGGUUUAGAUUCUGGAGAAUAUAGGUUCAAAUCUGUCCUCAGAC
rnacentral:tRNA from 1 species